rnacentral:rRNA from 1 species
UCAUUCAAAUUUCUGCCCUAUCAACUUUCGAUGGUAGGAUAGUGGCCUACCAUGGUUUCAACGGGUAACGGGGAAUAAGGGUUCGAUUCCGGAGAGGGAGCCUGAGAAACGGCUACCACAUCCAAGGAAGGCAGCAGGCGCGCAAAUUACCCAAUCCUAAUUCAGGGAGGUAGUGACAAUAAAUAACGAUACAGGGCCCAUUCGGGUCUUGUAAUUGGAAUGAGUACAAUGUAAAUACCUUAACGAGGAACAACUGGAGGGCAAGUCUGGUGCCAGCAGCCGCGGUAAUUCCAGCUCCAGUAGCGUAUAUUAAAGUUGUUGCAGUUAAAAAGCUCGUAGUUGAACUUUGGGUCUGGUUGUCCGGUCCGACUUUAUGUCGCGCACUGGUUUUCAACCGGAUCUUUCCUUCUGGCUAACCUGUACUCCUUGUGGGUGCAGGCGAACCAGGACUUUUACUUUGAAAAAAUUAGAGUGUUCAAAGCAGGCGAAAGCUCGAAUAUAUUAGCAUGGAAUAAUGGAAUAGGACGUUUGGUUCUAUUUUGUUGGUUUCUAGGACCAUCGUAAUGAUUAAUAGGGACGGUCGGGGGCAUCAGUAUUCAAUUGUCAGAGGUGAAAUUCUUGGAUUUAUUGAAGACUAACUACUGCGAAAGCAUUUGCCAAGGACGUUUUCAUUAAUCAAGAACGAAAGUUAGGGGAUCGAAGAUGAUCAGAUACCGUCGUAGUCUUAACCAUAAACUAUGCCGACUAGGGAUCGGGUGGUGUUUUUCUUAUGACCCACUCGGCACCUUACGAGAAAUCAAAGUCUUUGGGUUCUGGGGGGAGUAUGGUCGCAAGGCUGAAACUUAAAGGAAUUGACGGAAGGGCACCACCAGGAGUGGAGCCUGCGGCUUAAUUUGACUCAACACGGGGAAACUCACCAGGUCCAGACACAAUAAGGAUUGACAGAUUGAGAGCUCUUUCUUGAUUUUGUGGGUGGUGGUGCAUGGCCGUUCUUAGUUGGUGGAGUGAUUUGUCUGCUUAAUUGCGAUAACGAACGAGACCUUAACCUACUAAAUAGGGUUGCUGGCACUUGCCGGUUGACUCUUCUUAGAGGGACUAUCGGUUUCAAGCCGAUGGAAGUUUGAGGCAAUAACAGGUCUGUGAUGCCCUUAGACGUUCUGGGCCGCACGCGCGCUACACUGACGGAGCCAGCGAGUACAACCUUGGCCGAGAGGUCUGGGUAAUCUUGUGAAACUCCGUCGUGCUGGGGAUAGAGCAUUGUAAUUAUUGCUCUUCAACGAGGAAUUCCUAGUAAGCGCAAGUCAUCAGCUUGCGUUGAUUACGUCCCUGCCCUUUGUACACACCGCCCGUCGCUAGUACCGAUUGAAUGGCUUAGUGAGGCCUCAGGAUUUGCUUAGAGAAGGGGGCAACUCCAUCUCAGAGCGAAGAAUCUGGUCAAACUUGGUCAUUUAGAGGAACUAAAAGUCGUAACAAGGUUUCCGUAGGUGAACCUGCGGAAGGAUCAUUAAAGAUUAUGAAUGAGUAGAUUACUGGGGGAAUCGCUGAAUAUGGCCUGCGCUUAAUUGCGCGGCUAAUUCUUGAUUUUCUGCUAUCAGUUUUCUUUCUCUCAUCCUAAACACAAUGGAGUUUUUUCUCUAUGAACUACUUCCCUGGAGAGCUCGUCUCUCCAGUGGACAUAAACACAAACAACAUUUUGCAUUAUGAAAAACUAUUUAUCAAGAAAUUUAAUAUUCAAAACUUUCAACAACGGAUCUCUUGGUUCUCGCAUCGAUGAAGAACGCAGCGAAUUGCGAUAUGUAUUGUGAAUUGCAGAUUUUCGUGAAUCAUCAAAUCUUUGAACGCACAUUGCGCCCUCUGGUAUUCCAGGGGGCAUGCCUGUUUGAGCGUCAUUUCUCUCUCAAACCUUUGGGUUUGGUAGUGAGUGAUACUCGUUUUUCGGGUUAACUUGAAAGUGGCUAGCCGUUGCCUUCUGCGUGAGCAGGGCUGCGUGUCAAGUCUAUGGACUCGACUCUUGCACAUCUACGUCUUAGGUUUGCGCCAAUUCGUGGUAAGCUAGGGUCAAUGAGCUUAUAGGUGUUAUAAAGACUCGCUGGUGUUUGUCUCCUUGAGGCAUACGGCUUAAUCAAAACUCUCAAAGUUUGACCUCAAAUCAGGUAGGAAUACCCGCUGAACUUAAGCAUAUCAAUAAGCGGAGGAAAAGAAACCAACCGGGAUUGCCUUAGUAACGGCGAGUGAAGCGGCAAAAGCUCAAAUUUGAAAUCUGGCGUCUUCGACGUCCGAGUUGUAAUUUGAAGAAGGCAACUUUGUAGCUGGUCCUUGUCUAUGUUCCUUGGAACAGGACGUCAUAGAGGGUGAGAAUCCCGUGUGGCGAGGAUCCCAGUUAUUUGUAAAGUGCUUUCGACGAGUCGAGUUGUUUGGGAAUGCAGCUCUAAGUGGGUGGUAAAUUCCAUCUAAAGCUAAAUAUUGGCGAGAGACCGAUAGCGAACAAGUACAGUGAUGGAAAGAUGAAAAGAACUUUGAAAAGAGAGUGAAAAAGUACGUGAAAUUGUUGAAAGGGAAGGGCAUUUGAUCAGACAUGGCGUUUGCUUCGGCUUUCGCUGGGCCAGCAUCAGUUUUAGCGGUUGGAUAAAUCCUCGGGAAUGUGGCUCUGCUUCGGUAGAGUGUUAUAGCCCGUGGGAAUACAGCCAGCUGGGACUGAGGAUUGCGACUUUUGUCAAGGAUGCUGGCGUAAUGGUUAAAUGCCGCCCGUCUUGAAACACGGACCAAGGAGUCUAACGUCUAUGCGAGUGUUUGGGUGUAAAACCCGUACGCGUAAUGAAAGUGAA